AAGGAUAUCAUCGACGAGCACCACCGCACUGCCGACUUCCUGAGGAAGUAUGAUGAUGCUGUUGACUCCUUUCGAAUUGAAAGGCAGGUUUAUGAAUCUGAGAAGAGCCGCAUGGAGACCGCUUUGUUGUUAUUCUUUAUAGAGCUCAAGGGCCAGGAGGCCAAACUCAGUAGUCAGGUGCUUGAUUGGAGGAAUGCUCACAGUCAUGCUGCCGAUGAGAUUGAGCAACUUAAGGCCCAAUUGACGGAGGCCAGGGAGGACCAUGAGAAGGAGCGGAGUAGUUGGCGAGACUUCGGGUUAUGCUGGCCGAGGCCAUGCUUGCUGUCAGGAGUCAUGAAGCCUCUUUGAAGAAAAAGCCGGAAGAUCUCAAGGAGUUAUCUGACGCAGCGCAGGCCCUAGUUGAUGUGAUGGAGCCCCCCGAGGAAGGAGUAGAGUCCCGUCCCUUAAUUGCAAGAUUGAGGGACGCACCGGCCCAGUUCACCAAUAUGGUCAAGUCUGUUUGUAAGCAAAUGGUGGCGAUCGUGAAUUACUUUUAUCAAAAG
rnacentral:lncRNA from 1 species